CCCUGAGUCGCCCUGCGCAGGCGCUGUUGAGUUGACGGCUCGUUGGGUUUGCGCUCACAAACCUGUGUGACCUACCCGGGCCUCUUUCUCUUUUUGACAGGGUAUUCCAAGGCGUAGAGGCGAUCCCCACACGAAAAACAGGGAUUACAGACUUGGAUCCAGACAGCGCCAUGGGCAGCAGCUGCCGCAUCGAAUGUAUAUUCUUCAGCGAGUUCCACCCAACGCUGGGACCCAAAAUUACCUAUCAGGUCCCUGAGGAUUUCAUCUCGCGAGAACUGUUUGACACGGUCCAGGUGUACAUCAUCACCAAGCCCGAGUUACAGAACAAGCUCAUCACUGUCACAGCCAUGGAGAAGAAGCUGAUUGGCUGCCCCGUGUGCAUUGAACACAAGAAGUACAGCCGCAAUGCUCUCCUCUUCAACCUGGGCUUUGUGUGUGACGCUCAGGCUAAGACUUGUGCCCUGGAACCCAUCGUUAAAAAGCUGGCCGGCUACUUGACCACGCUGGAGCUUGAGAGCAGCUUUGUAUCCAACGAGGAGAGCAAGCAGAAGCUGGUGCCCAUCAUGACCAUCCUGCUGGAAGAGCUGAAUGCCUCCGGCCGCUGCACUCUGCCCAUUGAUGAAUCCAACACCAUCCACUUGAAGGUGAUCGAGCAGCGGCCAGACCCUCCUGUUGCGCAGGAGUAUGAUGUGCCCGUCUUUACAAAGGACAAGGAGGAUUUCUUCAGCUCACAGUGGGACCUUACCACACAGCAGAUCCUGCCCUACAUUGACGGGUUUCGCCAUGUCCAGAAGAUCUCCGCUGAGGCAGACGUGGAACUCAACCUGGUGCGCAUCGCCAUUCAGAACCUGCUGUGAGUGAAGAUCCGGUUAAUGCCUGUUACGGAGCCGUGCCCGAGGAGACCUAAAGGAUGCUCAGUAGGUGAGUCUGGGAUGCAGUUAAGUAAAAUGUGACCCGUAUGGCUGAGCCAGAUCAAGCCAGACUCCCAAGGACAUCCCUCAGGCCCUUGUGACCCCUGCUGUGUUCUAGUACUCCAAUGUGUAUUGCCCAACACCAAAAGUCCAGGAUCUGGUGGAUGACAAGUCCCUGCAGGAGGCAUGUCUGUCCUACGUCACCAAGCAAGGACACAAAAGGGCCAGUCUCCGAGAUGUGUUCCAGCUAUACUGCAGCCUGAGCCCUGGUACCACUGUGCGAGACCUCAUUGGCCGCCACCCCCAGCAGUUACAACACGUUGAUGAAAGGAAGCUGAUCCAGUUUGGGCUGAUGAAGAACCUUAUCCGGAGACUACAGAAAUAUCCAGUCCGAGUGUCUCGGGAGGAGCGGAGCCACCCUGCCAGGCUUUACACGGGCUGUCACAGCUAUGAUGAGAUCUGCUGCAAGACAGGCAUGAGCUACCAUGAGCUGGACGAGCGACUAGAAAAUGACCCCAACAUCAUCAUCUGCUGGAAGUGAGGCUGGCUAGCUGGAACAUGUUACUAUGGCUACUUGCCCCUACUAAGGCCUCCUUGGUCCACUGGAGCUAGACAAGUAUGGUUGUACAUAUGGUCUGGAGGGUGAGACUCGGUUUUGUAAAUAAAGUUAUGUGUUUCAUCCUGUGGAA